rnacentral:lncRNA from 1 species
UAGGGUUUGAGGUUUUGUUUGUUUUGUUUUAAAAAAGAAAACACAUACAUCUAUAUUUGGCUUUGAAAUUGAUGUUUAUUAUUGAAGUGAAGCAGAUUUUCUGUUCUUCUUUCUCCUUUAUUCUGAAAAGCCAACUAAUAGUAAAAAGGGGCUGUAUUGUCUUCUUUUAGCUCUGGCUCCUCUUUUUCCCUACUUUACUUUUCUAGGAAGCCUUUCCAGCUCACCUCCCCUCUUCACCACCUAGUUUCAUAGCACUAUCAGAGUACUUAUUACUCCACCCCAUACUCAAUGCCUCAACUGUAUAGCUCCCCCAUUUAACUACAAGCAAUUCGAAGGAAGGGAUUGUAUGUUUUUCAACACUGCGGUCUCAGCAUCUGAUAGUGCUGGCAAAAGUGAAUGAAUGAGUGAAUAUCACAGCUUUCAUUUGGGUUUCAUCUUUGCUUCCAUCACUAAACAUAGUCAAGAACCUAGACAAAUUCCAGUUACAUGUUUGGUGAGCCAGCCAGGAGCUUAUUGGUAAGUGAAACAAUGGCCUACAGCCUGCUUAAUGCCUUCCUUUGGUU